CCUGGUAGUCCACGCCCUAAACGAUGUCAACUAGUUGUUGGGGAUUCAUUUCCUUAGUAACGUAGCUAACGCGUGAAGUUGACCGCCUGGGGAGUACGGUCGCAAGAUUAAAACUCAAAGGAAUUGACGGGGACCCGCACAAGCGGUGGAUGAUGUGGAUUAAUUCGAUGCAACGCGAAAAACCUUACCUACCUUGACAUGGUCGGAAUCCUGCUGAGAGGUGGGAGUGCUCGAAAGAGAACCGAUACAC
rnacentral:rRNA from 1 species